rnacentral:rRNA from 1 species
UACGUAGGUCCCGAGCGUUGUCCGGAUUUAUUGGGCGUAAGGCGAGCGCAGGUGGUUUAUUAAGUCUGGUGUAAAAGGCAGUGGCUCAACCAUUGUAUGCAUUGGAAACUGGUAGACUUGAGUGUAGGAGAGGAGAGUGGAAUUCCAUGUGUAGCGGUGAAAUGCGUAGAUAUAUGGAGGAACACCGGUGGCGAAAGCGGCUCUCUGGCUUGUAACUGACACUGAGGCUCGAAAGCGUGGGGAGCAAACAGG